rnacentral:tRNA from 2 species
CAGAGAAUAGUUUAAUAAUAAAAUAUUAGUUUUGGGAACUAGUGAUAAGAGGUGGAAUCUUUUCUCUGA